rnacentral:rRNA from 1 species
UGGGGAAUAUUGGACAAUGGGCGAAAGCCUGAUCCAGCCAUGCCGCGUGUGUGAAGAAGGUCUUCGGAUUGUAAAGCACUUUAAGUUGGGAGGAAGGGUUGUAGAUUAAUACUCUGCAAUUUUGACGUUACCGACAGAAUAAGCACCGGCUAACUCUGUGCCAGCAGCCGCGGUAAUACAGAGGGUGCAAGCGUUAAUCGGAAUUACUGGGCGUAAAGCGCGCGUAGGUGGUUAGUUAAGUUGGAUGUGAAACCCCCGGGCUCAACCUGGGAACUGCAGUCAAAACUGACUGACUAGAGUAUGGUAGAGGGUGGUGGAAUUUCCUGUGUAGCGGUGAAAUGCGUAGAUAUAGGAAGGAACACCAGUGGCGAAGGCGACCACCUGGACUGAUACUGACACUGAGGUGCGAAAGCGUGGGGAGCAAACA